AUCCUUUUUUGGUUCAUAAGUCUGAAGAUUGGGUAUUCACGUGAUUGCAUGACAUGCCCCACCUGCAAACCUUGUUAGGCAUCGGCACAUUACCCAUAUGAUA